AGGUAGCGAAGAAUCCUUUUGAGAGCUUGCUAAUGUAAUUCUGAUGGUUUAUGCAUGAAAUGAGCUAGUUUAUUAACAGCAUAACUAAUAUCUGGACGGGUGAACGACAAGUACUGAAGAGAUCCAAUAACACUCCGAUAAGUCUGAAUAUCAGUAGUAGGACUACCAUCCAGGAGACUAAGUGAACUAGCGGUGGCAAGAGGUGAGCCGACUGGUUUAGCUUGUUCCAUAUGUGUACGUUGCAGCAAGGCAAUAAUGUAUUGAUGCUGAGAUAAAAGCAAACCACCAUUGAAUUUGUUCACUGAAAUUCCAAGAAAAUAGUGAAGAAGAGCAGGCUGUUUAAUGGAGAAUUAUUGUGCCAAAUUGGUUAGAAAAUCUGCAAUCUUGCUGUCAUUGUUGCCAGUCACUAUUAAAUCAUCUACAUACACAAGGAAAUAAAUGACACAACCAUUGAGUGCGUAGACGAAUAAAGAAGCAUCUGCCAUAGAAUUGAUAAAGCCAUAAGAGUGCAGAAAGUUUGAGAGUGCUGUAUACCAUACACGAGGUGCCUAUUUCAAACCGUAGAUUGAUUUGUGAAGUCUACACACAUAGGAAGAGUGAUUAGAAUCAACAAAUCCAGGAGGUUGGAUCAUGUAUACUUCUUCAUUUAACGGUCCAUGGAGAAAUGCAUUGUUUACAUCCAAUUGUUGUAGCUUCCAACCAUUGGAGAUAGCAAUUAUAAGCACUACCCGAAUGGUAACGGGUUUAACAACGGGACUGAAGGUGUCAGUAAAGUUCUGCCCAGGUCUCUGAUGAAACCCCUUCGUAACAAGUCAUGCCUUAUACCGAGAAAUGCUACCAUCUGAGUUUCGUUUGAUACGAAACGCCCACUUACAGCCAAUGGCCUGUUUCUCAGGCGGCAAAGGAACCAAACUCCAGGUGCCAUUCUUAAUUAAGGCAUUGAAUUCAGAGGAGAGAGUAGCACGCCAUUUUUCAUCUUUCAGUGCUUGAGUGACACAAGUGGGUUCCUGUGGAGAUGGAAUAGGGUGGAGGAAUGUGGAGUGAAGUUGUUUAGGUUAAUAAAUGUUAUCCAUGGAACGGGUGGUCAUUUGAUGUGUUCUAGGAAAGGUAUGGGAAGGAGGUGAUGGAUUUGUGACAGUCAUUUGUGUGGUAGGUGAUGCAAGAGCAGAUUGGGCUGGUGUAUCGGUGUUAGCAGAGUGGUGCUCAUCAGUCAAAGAGGCAGAAGAAGAUAAAUGUACCUGAGUGGAUGAGGGAGAGUUUACCAUGCUAGUAAGUUGUUGAAGAGAGAAAGUGCCAUGAUAAAUUGGAAUAUUGUAGAAAGAAGGAGUGGUAACAGCAGAGGAGAGCCAAUGUAUUUUAUCGGGGUUAACAACUCUUUG
rnacentral:misc_RNA from 1 species